GGCGAACGCUGGCGGCGUGCUUAACACAUGCAAGUCGAACGGAAAGGCCUCUUUCGGGGGGUACUCGAGUGGCGAACGGGUGAGUAACACGUGAGUAACCUGCCCUUGACUUUGGGAUAACUUCAGGAAACUGGGGCUAAUACCGGAUAGGAGCUCCUGCUGCAUGGUGGGGGUUGGAAAGUUUCGGCGGUUGGGGAUGGACUCGCGGCUUAUCAGCUUGUUGGUGGGGUAGUGGCUUACCAAGGCUUUGACGGGUAGCCGGCCUGAGAGGGUGACCGGCCACAUUGGGACUGAGAUACGGCCCAGACUCCUACGGGAGGCAGCAGUGGGGAAGAUUGCACAAGGGGUGGAAGCCUGAUGCAGCAACGCCGUGUGCGGGAUGACGGCCUUCGGGUUGUAAACCGCUUUCGCUCAUGACGAAGCUUUGUGUGACGGUAGUGGGUAAAGAAGCACCGGCUAACUACGUG
rnacentral:rRNA from 1 species